GGCACUGUGGCGCAAUGGUAGCGUGUGCGCCUCCUAGUCUAAUCGAGUCCUCUGUCGGGGUUUUAGUUUAGGGGUUCAGCGUGAGGUUUAGGGUUCGAGUCCCUACUGUGUCA